rnacentral:tRNA from 1 species
GUGGUGGUUCAGUGGUAGAGCGCUCACUUAGCACGUGCAAGGCGCUGGGUUCAAUCCUCAGCACCACA